rnacentral:rRNA from 1 species
UACGUAGGGUGCGAGCGUUAAUCGGAAUUACUGGGCGUAAAGCGUGCGCAGGCGGUUGUGCAAGACAGGUGUGAAAUCCCCGGGCUUAACCUGGGAACUGCACUUGUGACUGCACGGCUGGAGUGCGGCAGAGGGGGAUGGAAUUCCGCGUGUAGCAGUGAAAUGCGUAGAUAUGCGGAGGAACACCGAUGGCGAAGGCAAUCCCCUGGGCCUGCACUGACGCUCAUGCACGAAAGCGUGGGGAGCAAACAGGAUUAGAAACCCCAGUAGUCC